CACCAGGAAAGAAAAUAAAGAAACAGAAGUUUUGGGUUUUUUUUUUCCUUCUUUAAGAACCUGAAUAUGCCCCACAACACCACAGAUCAGUCCGUGCACACUACCUGACAAGUACAUAGCUAUCCCACAGUAUAUACGGUGUACAGAUAGAUCCUGUAUUUGAAUGCUCACUAAUUAAAGAGACAAUUAGCAGGAGACAAAAGAAGAAAAUAUAUUAAUCUGUUUUGCUCUUGUUUCCAUCAAGGUAGCUACUGAUACCUCACUGUUCUUUUCUAUCUUCUUUGUCUGAUUUUUAAUUUACAGAAUUACUCCACUCCCUAUCACACUCAUUGAUUUGUUUUAGAAAGAGAGGAGUUGCCUUUACUCAUCUGCACACAGCUCAGGGAACUGCAGAUGCUGGAGAUCUGCUGAGCCUGCAGUGCCAGUGGGUGGACGUGCAAUGGGUGGUCCUGAGUGGAAUGAAGCUCUGGAAGGAGGUCACUGAAGGAAGAAGGACAAAAGCGGAUGACUCUUCACUUACUGGUGUGACUGGAGGUAUCAGUGGUUUUUACAGCCAGGUGCUGGUUUCCUUCCAUCUGAUGACUGGGAGCAUCCUGCUCUUCUGACUUACGCCUGAAAUAAUUCACAGGCUGGAAGAAAGAGUGAGUCUCUGGGGAUGCUUCUUUUGCCUCUGCACCCAGGGGAUUUCUUAGAUGGUCUUGCAAAGCCUCUCCCAGCUCUCAGUUUUUACCUACCCAUCAUAGGAGCACUGUCCAUCAAGGUAGUAGAGUGCCACAGAAACUAAAUUUUGAAAAGGCAGCCAGAGCCCUGUAGAAAGCUGCGCAGGUGUUAUUUUCAAACCAGAGAGCCAAACAGAGCCUUUAUUCCCACAUUAACUUGGGAUAUGUUUUUGUAAGCGUAACAGUGGAACAAGCUUGCAAGCAGCCUUCCUAAGGGCUUGGGGGAUUUAGAGGUCCUGUCCCUCUGGCAUCAGUCUUACGGCUUCCCUCACCUUUUGUCAGAUACUGGGGGAAAGACUUUCUGUCUGGAUAAAUCUCUUCAUUUCUUGAGCAGUUUCCCGUGCUGCUGGGCAGCAGCAUGGGCCGUGCCCAGGAGCAGAGCAGCAAAAGAAGCAUUACCAGGCCCUGAUUUCUCCAGGGCACCUCAGCUGCUUAGUCCUCUAUGCAAAGCACUAAGCAAAGGUUUUGUGCAGCCAUCAUGAGACUAACUUUAUGACAGAUGCUAUUGAUAUUGUUCUGACACAGGAAGCAUGUAAAGAAUUAGAAACAGACUCCCCUGAAAGGAGUAAGACAACGGGAUAUAUUACAGUAUCAAAAUGUACUUGACAGGCGGAAUGUGUAUAUCACAGACUGAAAGAAAGUGUUUGGGAUCAUCACUGGCCCAUCCAUGAGGGUCUCAGAGGAGCUCCACUUUGCAGAGCUUGCAGUGAGGAGAAAUACCAAUUGCUCUGGAGUGAGGAGAGGAUGAGAAGCAGCAGGUGAGACAGCCUGAGCUACCUUAUGUUGCAGCAGCUUCACAAGAUGUCCAGGCCACACACAGAAAACAACCUGGAGGUUACACAAACCUCUCGUCCUUACUUUGCAUUUUUGAAGCAGAAGACUGGGCAUUGGUCCAAACCCAUAAUCUGUGCAAGGGCGUGUCACAACAAAUAAGAGAGGGAUAAUUAGAAAUUUAUGAAGUGGCUCUCUAUAAUGCUACCUACUGUUUACUUGCCAACAAUCAAAAUUUAGCAACUGAUGCAUUCUAAGUAGUAUAAAUUGGAAAAAAAAAAAAUUCUAAACAGCUGAUUUGCUCUUAGUUAUGUGGGUUUUAUUUGAAAUAACCCUGUUUCCUCAGUGGGACCAAUAUGUGUGCACGUGUGUGUGUCUGCUCUUAAAAUGGUACUGAAAUGUAUGAGAGCAUAGGAAUGCGGUGUAGCAGAUAAUAACUCUCAAUUUCAUUGUUUCAAGUGUUGUUUGCUUUUGAUUUGGGGGGUUUUUUGUUUGUUUUUGGCUUUUUUUCUGCCUUUUUUGUUUGUUUGUUUUGUUUUUCCUAAGUCAGGGGAAGUCCAGUUCACUCAAGAUAAUAGCAGUCUGAGAACUAUUCCUGUACUUUCUAGCAGUGUGUGAGAAGAUACAUGUGUUGUAAGAGACUACAUUCCAGAACCAAGACAUUGUGGUAAUAUCUGUAAGAGACGUAUUACCGGGUUCCAGAGUCAGGUUGGUGUAUUUUUUCCUAAUAAAUUUCAAACUGUGUACAUAUUUACUGAGAUCCUCAAAUAUCUCUAAUUUUAGGAAGGUUUUGAACGUCAGUUGUCAUGCUGUAUUUUAGAAAUACAGUUCUGUACUUCAUUUACCCUCAGCCAAAUGGAUUCUAUAAUUUGAGCUCACAAAACAGCAAAUCUUAAUCUUUAUGAAUUUGGGGGAGCAUACAGCUAAUUUGUUGUUAUUCCCAUCCAAUUAUGGACAGAUUUACACAUGAAGAAUGGCCGGUUCCUUCAUCUUUAUUUUUUGAUACCUGUGGUGUGUACAUGUAUACAUACAAUUGAGAAAGCAAAUCUGUCUGUUGUCUUCCAUCCUAUAAAAUUUCUACCUAUCUGAAUGUUUGUAUUUUGGAGAAAAGGUAAAGAAAUAUAAAGUUUCCCCACUGAGCUUUAAAUAUUGCCACUUAAAUAAGCAGUCCUGCUACCAGACAGUUAGCCUAAGUGAAUGGGUACAUUUGUAAGGUUAGGAACUAAAAAAAAAAAGAAGUGCAAGGUCCUAAAUUGGAUUGCUGGCAGCAGCUCCUCAUGGUUCACUUAAGCCAGUUUAGUGAAAACGAUUUUCCUUUUUGUUUGCCUGGAAAAUGAGAUUCUGUGUUUAAGUUCAUUACAUCUAACAGUUUAUAAGUAGGUGGGUACCAAGCUAUGCUCUGUUCUCUGUGCACUGAACUCUCAGAUGAAAGUAUCUUUGUCUGUGAAUGUGCUGGUUUGCUCCUGUGUGGAUGCAGAGCAUCCACCGUUGUGCACUGACCUCACGGAGAUUUCAUUUGUACCCUUUCAUUAAGCUCGUGCUUGGGUUUGCAGCCUCAGCAGCUGUGAUGCUUCAAUAUGGGGGAAAUGCUUUUUUCCCCCUUUUGAUUUUACUCUUUGCUUCUCAACAUUAGGCACAACUGAAACAUUUCUCCUAGGUCACUAAUAAAGGCAGACUUGAAGCACAAACAUGAUGCUGUGCUUAUUGAUCCAGAUUCCCUAAUGCCUAUAGAGAUGUAGGAGGUGGCAUUAGGUGUGGGCCACCUUUCCUAUUGGCUACAGUGGACAAAAUGCCCAGUUCUGCCCGAGGCUGGCUGGCUGCUCGGUGCCAUGGGGACUAGAUGCACUUUGGGAUGCUCUUUCACAAGGAUCUGUUUCACACAAGAACAAGGUGCUUUGCUGUAGGCAGGUCAACCUCAGACGUUACUGUAGAUCUGUAACUUGUCCUGAAUCAUCACUAAAUCAUGGCUCUUCUGAGAAAUAAAAGCGUUUUAAACUCUGUUCCUGGUUUCCUCAGCCACCUCUGAUUUCACAUGGGUGCAGCCACGCUGAAGGCUUUGCUGUGGGUCCCUGCAGUGGGUUCCUGGAUAAACCAAUGCCAGAGGCACCUCACCGAGUGUGGGCCAAGGAAUCUUUAAGACACUGAUGUCUCACUGUUUUGGACUAAUCUCAUUUUAAAGCAGAAGUAUUGAGAAGACAGAGUAUCAUGAGAAAUGAUGGAGGUUUAAUGAACAACUUCAGUUAGAGGAUUAUGAAUAACUUGAAGAAGGCACUUCAAAGCGCUCUCUUGGGCUGAGAAGCAGCCCACCCUCAUCCAGGGUCUGUAAAUAAGAUUGUCCCCAGGGUUCUGUUGUUCAUGCAGCAGUACAACUGAGUUCUUUCUGCAAACCAUGGGCUCAGUUUGGAUGCUGGUAUUAUUACAAUUUCCAAAACGUUUUUAUAAGUACUGCAAAGAAGAUGGAAACGCAGCAGCUUGGCUUCUUCCUGGCGCCUGCCCCAGGCCCCACACAACCACAGUGACUGCUGCUGCACAGUGGCGCGACUGUGGGCCAGAACAGCCCUGAGUCCUCCACAGUUUACAUAAGGGCCUGUUUCUUUAUGUAAAAACAUAAAAAUUAAAACUAAAUCUGUUGCUUUAAAGGCUCUUUCUUCAGUUUUAGCACCCUCCGAAAUACUCAAACAGACUUUUAAAGCAGAUGCAUGUAGCGCACUGUGGGUGAGGAUUAAGCAAACCCAGAUUAAUUGUACAAGGAGUAAUCACAUGUGGAAACACCCGCCUUUCCCCUUGGGGGACUUCAAAUGAGCGGCAGUGUUCAGAGCAGGCUUUGUUGUUGGUUAGAUCCACCUCCUAGCUGGUUUCCUAAUAGCAGUGCAAUACUUGAUACCAUCCUGCCUAUUAACCUUUUAUUUUAUGUUCUGUUUACUUUUAUUACAGAUGACAAUAGGGAGACCAGCGUACUCAGCUACUCAGGUUUAUUUAUAUCCAGCCAUGGAGUUGCCAUCAUGACUGGAACACACGGCACAGAACUGGGAUCUUUUACUUGAUUAGAGAGAAAAUAUGGGUGUUUUAGGCAGAUUCUUGGGGAACACAGUGAGCAAGUUUGAUUGUAGAAAUGGUCACUCCAUGCUGCCUGUAAAAUGAAAACGUCCUUUCCAGAGAUCUGUUGCAGCAUCUGGAAACUGAUGGUCACCUGAAAGCUUUGACACGAGUUUCAGGCAGAAGACAAAAUGUGUAACAGUAACUAAGCAGAGGCAUGAAAAAUGAGUUGUCUUUUUCUCCCUGGAGAAGAGACCCGUUCUGCUGGAGCUGGAUAACACUUGGAAGCUCACAAAGCUCCUUUUCAUUAGAGAAAUGAAAGCCUCGUCAUCCCUAGAGCUCUUAAUUAGGCACCUUUUGCCAUUCACACAAAUCUGUGUCUCUGCUGUCAAGUCCUAUUUGUUUUAAAAAUUGAUUCAUUCAUUUCGGCUCUUUUGUUGGGCAGCAAAAGUGGAUAGACCAAAUGAAUCCAAACACUUUGUAAAUUGUAAGGGUUUUAAUAUAAUGAGCAUGGCCACACCAAGCUCAGAGAACAUGUGUAUGUCAAUGCUGUGGUGCAAAAUGCUCACAGAGCAAUAACAAAAACCAUGUUCAAAGAGAGGGCUGCAGAGGAGAGGAAAAAAGCACAUAUGGAGUAUUAGUUACCUGCAGACCUAUAUGACACUCUUGCAUUCAUGGUGGGUAUUAAUCUGCAGGCAUUACUUAGCAGUUAGAUAGCAAGGAUCAGAAUGAAAGUGCUAGAUUUUAAUGAUACUUAGGCUGAAUGUUUUUUAGUGCAGCCUUUCUGAUGAGGAAUGAUUUAAAUCUUUUAUUUAAAGGAGUUGGGAUUUCUUUUUCACCACCUCCGGAAAAAUAAAGUCUUUUAGGUACUGAAUAUAAAUUUACACUGUUUGUAAGCCUUCCUUUGAAGCAUUUCUCUCUCAUUAUGCUAAUAUUCAGUGUUGUUGCUGUUUACAAGGAGGUGUUUAAUUCAGACAGGAAAGAACUCCUCUUGUACAGACAUGUAAAUAUAUAUAUGAAUACAAGUAUUUGCAUGUAAAUAUUUUCUCUUUAUUGCAUUCUUGUUUUAAAAAUCUCAGCCAACCUUGAAACAGGAACCAAUCAAUCACCAUCACUAGUGAGACCUGCGUGGAGUGUCGGGGAUGCAGGGCUGGAGCUCAUCAGUGAAGUUGAGCAAACAUGGCACGAGUCUCAUCACCCAGGAAGCUGAGCCUUCCGUGUGCGCGGCUGCUGCUUUCCAGGCUGAGAAGAGUCUCCAGUUAUCUGCAUUUUCAGCAGCACUAACAGUCCUAGAAUCCUUCAGCAGCCCCUUUGUGUUAGUAACUAACUGCAGACUCAAGACACUGCUGGGCUGAAGAUGCCAAAAGAAAGGAUGGUGUAAGGUGCUGUGUGGCCAAAGGAGGAUGCACAGACGAACCAUUGCACCCUGUCUGCUUUGCUGUCCUCCUUCGUGUGGGCUGACUUGGGUAGCACACCAUGGGGAUGCCUCCUCUCCUUCGGAUUCUCUGAAAAUGCCUGUGUUGGGAAGAAGCAAUCCCGUGCUUUAAGCGAGCUGAAUUUCCUUGGCAAACUCCGUCACUGGCUCUAGGAGAGAAGAAGUUACUGAACUCACACGUGUAGGGAAAGACAGUGAAUUACAGAGGUUUGCAGCCUCACGUGGACAGAAAAUUGCAGGAUUCAUAAAGCUGAAGCGAGUGUGUACAGGUGCUUCAGAGACCUCUUGUGCAAACAGGCAACACCUUAACUCAUGGACUUAGAAGCAGAAUUAACUUUGUCCUUCAGCACUGGUUCACUUAACUACUUUAGUGCCAUCAUGAAUGCUACAGAAACAACCACUGGGAUGACCUUUUGUGGAAUUGAGCCUAUGAAAUCUCAUGCCUUCCCCCAAACUAAUCACCAUUUUCAGCAGCUCUCACUGGAUUUAGUGGCUGGGCCCUGUGACUGUGUUCAUCUUUUACCUUCCAGUAUCUAACAAUUUAUUAUUAAUAUUGGACCCUAACAGACAUGACUGUAUGCACUUGAUUUUACCCCUUUGUUUUUUAAUUUAGAAACAGCUGAUUCUAUUAUUACAGUGUGAAAUACCUGAUUCAGCAGGUGUAGCAUCACAUGGUGCCAUCCUCAAUAGCCAAUUUCCUGAAUUAAUUUCAAAGUUCAUAAAAUGCGCUAAGCGAAUUAGGAGACAUGAUCGAUCACAGGCUUAUCCAUCCUAAAGCAUCACAGCACUGCUCAAUAUCAGUGUGAGUCAGAAUUUGAGAUCACCAUCACAUCAAAUAUCAAUACGGUCAGUUUUACAAACCAUGGAGCAUUCAGGUUCACUCAGGAGCUUAUAACAUGUUUGCUUUUCAUUUAGUUCAUGCAGAAUUCAUUAUAGUUCAUAGGAGAAUUUGAUUUUAUACUAGUUAAAUAAACAUAUUGGACUCUCUAGGUGAUAACUCCUGUAUAUUUUUUUAAAAGUUCCUGCGCUUCCCCUGCAGAAAAUGAACUUCGUUAAGCAUGUGCUGUGUGUACCUAUUGAAGCCCCUGGAACAGAGCACUCUUAUGAGCAAUCUCUUAUCAACAAAGUGCUGUCAGCAGGCUCUCCAGAUCAGAUUAGAAAACCUCCAUGGCAUGGAGUAGGGCAUUUAAAUAACCAGUUCUGUCGGUCCCUUAGGAUGGGCCUGUCUGUGAAAACUUUCCAAAUGGCAUAGUUCUUUGAAAGAAAUCGAGGACUAUGUUGUAAAAUGUCCUUUGUGAGCCUGGCAGAAGGGAGUCUCGAGGAGAAUGCUGCCAAACUGCUGGUUUUUGAAGUUUGCUUUGAGAGCUACCCAAGCUGCAUUGCCUUGGUACGUUCCUGGAGCUACCGCACUGCAACUGCAACGGAUGACUGGAUGAAGCCACUGAGGCUGCUGAUCACCCCAGAUCCAUAUCCUGCGUGGAAGCGGGGCUGGUUCCCAGGGGUUUCUCAAGCCAUUCCUCAUACUCAGCCAUGCCAGAUCUUGAGGCUGCCUCCACGGUGGUUCUUUCCCCGACUCACCCAGUGCCUCCUCAAAGUCCUGUAUCCAUCUGUCCCCACACAAAGAGCUGCCCUGAAGUAGCCCAUCUGUAUGUAUGGCAACAGACCACCAGACUUCUUCCAAGGAGAACAACAGAAGAUGAUAGCACACAAAAUAGAGGCUGCUACAGGCAAGUAGCUGGAGAACAGCACAAGGAGGUAGUAGAUAUGAGUCAGAUGUGCAGCAUGCUGAGUAUGCACUUUUGCUUUUGUUAGGAAGAAAGCUUGUGGCACUCUGAAUGCAUCUUCCAAAUUUCUGGAGCCAGUGUACAUUAUUUUGAUUUGUCCAAACUAAAUCAAGGAGCUGCGUGAGCUGGUCUAGAUGGUCAUUCUCAGAAGGAAGAAGCAGUUGUGUUCAGGCUCUUCCCCUGACCUGAAUUCCUGGCUGCAAAGCAAAGCAGUUUCUUAGCUGAAAAGUAAAUGUCAAAAGAUAUUAGAAUUAAAUAAUUUCUUAUUUCCCCAUAUCAAAGAAAAUUAAGUGAGAGGGAUUAAAUGGAUAAAUGUAUCAAGUAAAGCAGCAGUGAAAACAAUAUACUCUCUUUCUACAACUGUAAACAAUUACUACUGUGUGAUUUGGAAACUGUCAAUUAGCCCUAACCACAGUGAAUCAGAGCUUCUUUCUGGUGUAAUGAAAACAGAGCAUCUUACUGUCACAUCGGUAUAGAUUGAAUUAACCUUAAUGACUCCUGUAAGGCUAAACCUUGCCUUGGCAGGCAGAUUGAACACUGUGUGUUGUAAGCUUUGCCUUUAACUUAUCUUUGUAAAACUUCCAUUGAUUCUACUCUAAUUUAAACUAGAAAUACAGAAGUUGUCAGGUUUGAGCAGACCACUGGUGCAACUAAUUUGAUUUUUUGUUGCUAACUCUAACCAGUGAUGGAUGGCCUCAGGGAGAAAAAGAAGAAUUCAUUCCCUGUCCCCUCCCCCUUUCCUUUUCCCCUUGUGUCCCUCUCCUAAUUUGUUUAAUUAAGUGUGAUGCGAUGCCAUGAAGGAACAGAUUUCUUUACCGUCAGUUGAUGACAAGUUUAGGUACUGAAAUGGAAAUAUUAACAGCUCUUGUAUCUUCAAGCUCCCUAGCAUUAUUCUUGCCAGUGUAAAUGUCAAACCCCAGUUUGGAAAUAAUUCUUCUGUAUCUCCUGUAUUAAACAGAUUAUUCUAAGAAGUUUCCAAAUUCAUUGCCAGGAGCAUCCUUUUUUAUUGUUGAAUGCUUAGUUUCAGUAGGAGAAAAUGUAAAUAGGACCCUGUCACUCCGUGAGCACCACUAUCUGCCACAUCUCCUCUUUCAUUGCUAAUUUCUGGCUAAAGUUUAUUUGGUGGAUUUUAUAGAAGGUCCUCUUAGAGUUAUCCCAGUGUAACAAAAUCUAAUUCAUUUUCUUUCAGUUGCAGGGAAUCUCUCUCUUCAUGUUGCACUUAUAUAAAAUCACCAGUUCUUCAUGGGAAGAAAGAUACAAGUUGAUCUCUCAGCUAGAAUAAUUUCUUCUCGGUCAAAAGGUUGGUAUAGCUUUAUUGAUUAGCUUCUCCAAAAUAUCUGUUGGCCUUAAGAUCCCAACCUAUGACAUAUUAAAGUGAUUUUGCUAUGGGCAGUUGCUCUGCACUUCAAAAUUGAGCCCACUGGGGUUUCAAACUCUCGAUUUGAAAAUGAAGGUACCAGAAGUUAAUUACUUUUUGUAUAAAAAUAUUAUAUGGUUUCAAUUUCUGAGAUAUAUUAGUUUUACUUUGCUCAUGUCACAUGAUGCUUUGCUUUAACUGAAUCUCUACCACACUUCAGAACAGUUCAGGUAUUAAUACGGCAAAGCCACUGUUCUUGUCAACCUUAUUGCUGCACAGAUUUUUUCCAAAACUCUGUUGCCGAUGUUCAAAGAAUAUAUAUUAUCAGCUUAUUUGUCCCACACAUUAGCAAAUAACCUGCUUAUGAGCUAGGAAAAAAGCUCAGAAAUAUUUUAAUCCUGAUGACUACAAAUACCAGAACCUGCCACAGUGCAGAUUAGAAGGUUGCAGUUGUACUUGAAUGAAAGAGGGAAAGAGUCCUUCAAGCUGUGAACUUAACUGGGAAUCUCUGAGUAGAACAUUUUCCUACUCACGUGUGAAGCUGGAACAUGCUGCUGGCAUCUUGCUGCACAGCUUUGCAAGCCUAGCUAUGUUUGAAUAGUGGCUCACUGCAGGCAAUGUACUACAGUAUGUUUUUUUAAAUUCAAGUUUAACUACUUCUCCUAUCUUUAUUCCUUGCGUUGGUAUGUGCAAAAGCUUCUCAUUCAAGUGGAAAACUAAAAGAUAAGCAAGUAAGAAUGAAGCAGUCAGGAGGUUAACCUGACAGUUCCCAGACCAAACAGGGAAAAUGUUUAAAAGUCAAGCAUCUUUAAUAUCAGGAUAGAGGAGAGAAAAACAUCACAGAGACCACAUCUGUGGGAACCUGUGCAGGAUUUAAUGGGCUUUCAGAGUGCACAGUAACUGCAGGGCUGAGCGAAUCUGAAAAACAAGUGGAUUUAGGGAAGACUGAUGAAAGCCUAAAGGCCCAAAUUGUUGCUAAAGCUUCCAUUACUGAGAACUAUUGAAAAAUAAUUAUAAUAAAUCAGGAGGUAAGGACUGGAGAUGUCACUAACUAUAGAAUGUUUUGUUUGAAACUCAACCUGUAUUUACAGCACAGAUGUGUGUGCACACGCACAGGAUUGUACAGGUCAGUGUCUCCUAAUCCAGUUCUCAAACAGUGCCAGAAUGCGUUUUUCUGCAGAAAUCUCCUUUGCAGCUCUGUUUGCAGUCAGGAGUUGCAUGUCCCUACCCUGCAGAUCAAGUGCAGUGAGCAUUUCUGAGCUGGUGUCUCAUUCAUAACAGAGCAGCCAGUCCCGUAAACUUGGUUUGCUUAAUCACUACAGAGGCCAGGAUUCAAAAAUUUGGGUGUAGCAUUAAAUGCACAUGGAUGACUGUGUACAAUAAAGCUGCUGCUUAGUGUUACAGUGCAGAUGAGGGUGUGGUGAGCUGUGAUGUUAUAUGUGAUUUGGAGGAAAAUAGAUAGGAGAUGCUAAUGAAUACAAAAUUUGUAUUAAUCUCAUUUAUCACAGAGCCACCCCAGCAUUAAUACUGCUCAGACAUGGUGUUAAUAGCAGGGUUUUGAAGUUCUCAAGUUUGAACCAUGUAUUUGUUUCCAGUCUUCCGUAUUGUUUCAGUCCCGUUCUUCUUCCCCUCAUGCUGUAAAUCAAAUAGGACAUAUCUAAACUUCUAAAGGUUUCCAGAUGUGUCUUUUAUGAGGUUAUUGGGAGGCAAUAACUUUCGAAAGGUAGAAGAGUUUUGGCUAUCUAGUGAAUUUAAUCAAAACAGAUGCCAGUGAAAUUGCAGGGCUUGUGUGAGGACAGGCCAACGUCAGCUGCGCACGGGGAAGCAGGAGGAGAGCAGCGCAUCAGAACUGAAUCAGAACUCCCCUUCUGCAGGGACCAUCGUGGGCUCAGACGUGCACAACCUAAAUGAGGCCCAAAAGCCAUGACAGGUAAGCUGCGAUUUACAUCUGACUCAAAGAUGCUGCCAAGAGAUCUUUUUUUUAGCAGGCUCAACAACACGGACGUUGGGAAGAAACAAAGUGUAAGUCUAGACCUUACAUUCCCAUUGUACAUAAGAUCAUUUGCAGAAUUUGACUUCAAAUGCAGAAAUUUCCAGCCUGAGAAAGGCUGCAGGCCUGGUAGAAGAGGAGUGACAGCAGGGCACGCUGUGGUGCUCACAGCUCCUGACUGCGUCUGUACCCUGAAAUACUGUGCCUGGUCCCCAGAGAGGGACCCUUCUUCCACAAAAUCCAGGAGAGACACUGCAGGCCUCCAGUCUUCUACUGAGAUCGCACAUCCAAGAGAUGUGACACGAGCUGUGUCUUAGUCUCUGCAAGCAGUAAAUCAAUGCUGAGCUGCUCACCUGCGAUUGGACCAGCUCCAUGCUUUUCCAAGAUGCUGUGUGUCCAGCCUGCUGGCUACAAGCCCAAGAGGUCUCCUAAUGCUGCAACCAGGUACCACUGCCCCUACGUGUGCUCUUUUCCUAUUCUCACUAGUUCAUCUGCUUCGCACUUUUAUAGCCUCACUACAGAAGCACUCACUGAAUAUCACAGACACCCAGUUUGUUCAGCUGCAGUUCUUUUGAGCUCGUAUUUUCUAUUUAAAAUGCCUAAGUUGUUACGUGAAAUAACAAAAUAUUAUUCUUAUUUCUGAGGGCUGAGACUGCUUAUACAGAGGCUUGAAUUGCUAUUGAACACUGCGUAACAGACUUUCAUGAAGAGAGUUUGUGUCGUGUUGUAAUUUGUGAGUCUCCCAAGGUAUGCAAAAUCAUUCUGUGACUAUCCAGUAGCCAUAAAAAAUAUGUGAAGAAAUGCAGGUAUCCCAAAAUUCUGCAACUUCUUUUGGAUAUAAAGGUAUUUUCAUUUCUGAAAUGUUUAUGCAGCUUGAGGACAUUUAUUUGCAAGAUGCAGACUGCUUCAGCAGUACCUAGAGAACCUUAAUCUUGGCUGGACUUGACUCUAGGUGCUUGUGUAGUACAAAAUAAAAUCAAAUUAAGCUCUAACUGAAGUAAUUUAAUUUUAGUAGCCAAAAUUUAUGAAGGAAACAAAUUUCAGUUACACCUGUGUAUUUGUAGAAAAUGAAUUUUCAGUCGUUAAAUAUAAGUGUUCCUAGACAAGCUUGUGCACUCAACCAGGGACAGCAGAGAAUCGAUAUCAUCCCUGAGCAGCAGCUCAAAUUUCAAAUAUUCACAGCUUGUAAAGUCAAACUUGUGAAGUUUAAUUGACCAGGAAUAAUUUGAGGACAGAGUGAUCUGUAUGUGCUUCAUAGGCAGAAUGCAACCAAGUUAUUAACUAGAAAUUAUUUAUUCCACUUUAGAAAUUAUGGGACACUUGCAAUGGGGCUGUGCUUUUGCUAAAAAUAUUAACUUUAAUUUGCUCAUGGACACUGCAUGUUCCUUAACUAGAAAAAGAAGUACAAUUAGGAGCUUGUUUUCAUGUAAUUCCCUCCCACCAUCUUCCAAGUAGUUUUUAAAAUGUCUAACCUUGAUAUCAAUAAGCACAUACCUCCUGCUACAGCCACACAGCAUUUUAGCCGUAAAGGAGAAGAUUAACAAUCUACGAUCCCUUUUGCUUCUGUGACUUUCAAGUUCAGAGCAGAAUUAACCUGUGAUUUUUGCCUCUGCUUCUCUGCUUAGAACAGUGAACUAAAUGCCCAUUUUUCUUCUUCAACUGCCAGUGAAUAUUUACUGUGUUUUUUCCUGUAGAGCCUUGUGCCUUUGGCAGAGCUGAGAGUUUGGCUCAUCCAGUUUCAGUGUCAUUUUUUUGUAACCUAUGGCAAAGCCUUGCUUCUCCGUGCAGUUGUUGAAUAAUACACAUCUCUGGAAAUGCCAGGCGGGAAUCAGGAUCUGGUGGGGAAGUUGCUUCUGGGGAAAUGGGACAAUCUUCAAUCCCCCAAAUGCUGUGUGUAUUGUAUUCGAGGAUGGGAAAGCUCAGCUACAUGAGUGUCAAGAGAAAGAAAGGCAAAAGUGAAGUGAACAGAAUUUAGAAGAUGGCAUUUCAGUUCUGUUUAUAAACUUAAACCUUGGCUUCAUUCUAAAAUUGCAUAUUGUUUAUGAAUAUUGCUGUUGGUGGAAACUAAGCCAUUUGGAGGAGUCUGUAGUGACUUGGAGAUCCUAUAUGAAAUACUUUGGUGUCAUGCAUGUAAUCUGUCCUUCCUUUAUCAUGUUAAACCUGUUAAAUUAAUCUCCAGUCAGGUCCCUUCACUGGCCAGCCGGCCAGGCUGCCUCUGCCUUGGUGUGCUCAGGCAUCUGGGUUGGAGCAGCAGUCAUAGAGCUGUUAGGUUUGCAGAUUUGGCAUCCUAAAUCAGACAAUGUCUUUAUUCUCAAGCUCCAGCUCUCAGGCGACUGGUGAAACUGGUACCCUGUAAGGCAUCUGUGAACUAGCUAGUGACCUCAUAAUACAAAAAAACAUGAAAUGGAACCAAUUUGGAUAGGUCCGCACCUCAUGCCCAGGUAUAGGUAUAGCUAAUAUACAAAUAAAUAUAUAUCAGCUAGGGAACAGAUACAGAGUGCAGUGACACUCACUGUUUGAAAAAAAUGUCACAUCCAGACUCCAGGAUUUAGAUUUUAGGGGAUGCCGUUGGUAGCAGAGAUCUUUCCUUUUAAAUGAUAAAGAUGAAAACUGAGCACAUGACAGUUGCUUUCUACAGGUCUGCCUUGGUGUUUUAUCUUUAGGACUUAAGGAGGUAGCAAUGUUUGUGCCAAUUAAAAAUGUGAACUCCCUAAUGAGGAGACAUGGUUAUGAUGCAUGAGUUCCCUGCCAAAGACCUGGCAUCCCUGCCACGGCGUUCAGCUCUUACUUCAACCUGAUGAAUGUUAAGAACCUCUUAAUAUUAGAAACCUUAAUUGUUGCGUUUCAGAGAAGGUGCUACAAGGCUGUGUGGCCGGCAGUGCAGAGCUCAGCUGCCUGCUCUGGGCCCGUCUGGCCCUCGGGCUGGCUCGCCAUUGGUUCUGCUCACCUGCCUCUCACACAGCACAGGCUGCAUCACCUUUCUGUCAGUCACCUUUUUAUGUCAGCUUUCCUGUAGGUGCAAGCCAAGCAACUGCUGCAAAUUAUAAGGGAUCUUUUGUGCUUUGCCCUAUUUCAAAGCCCUUUUGUCACUUAACUGUACAUUUAUUUUUUUUUUUCAGUAUUUAGCAAUAUUAUUUUGGAGCUUUUUUUGCUUUAAUCCAACUUGUUUGCAGGGUUAUCAGUGUCUCUUCCUUGUUGAAAUUCUUAUCCAGCUUUUACAGCUCCAAUUCCUUCCUGUAAACUAUCCUGAGAGGCUAACAUCUCUAUUUUCAGCUCUGCCUCAGAUCCUAAGGGAGAGCAUCCUUUGGCCAGACUCUGACCUUAUUUAUGCAAUUUUAAAAUCUUAUGCAGCAGAGCCCACUCAAAAACCAACACACCUGAUGUGUCUGGACAGAAGCGUAACAGCAGCCUGAAUAGCAGUGGUCAGACAAAAGCUGUGAUCUACAGAGAACUUGUCUGGGGGAAAUAAUGUGGGGUUUUAAAAUAUUCUGCAAGAUGAACCUCGUAGUUUGCGGUUCUUUACAGCUUUAUGUGUUAUGUCAAAUGGGAAUCCUCCAUCAUCUUCUAGAUGUUUCUUUUGUGAGAAAAUUGACUGGCGGGAACACAUUUUUUGCCUGUCACUCCAGGUGAGAUUACUCCAUGGAUUUCUGUAGUUCACUGACUAAAAAACCACCAGAAAGCAAACUUUUGUGGGCAUGGAGAUUACCAGCAAUGUGAAGGGAGACAACAAUGAGGUAGAUUUCUUUUUCAUGCAGCUCACCAGAGAACAUUUCCUCCCAUUCAUUCCUUAUUUUUUUCUGGAGUGGACAAGGUUGUCUUCCUUGACACUGGCCUUGCAUCCCAGCACCCAUCCUAUGCCCUGGUCAGAGCAGAAGAGUUGCUGUGGUCUGGUAUCUAGUCAGCCUGAUCUAGACCUCAGUGGACACAACUAAACUGUGAUUACACACAUAUCCCUCUUUUUGCCCUUGCUGUCGAGAAACGCUGAGUGAUGUACGCUCAGUGGUGGCAACGGCAUUCAUACAUGUGUUUCAUUGUACUCCAGUACCUUGGUUUCCAUGGCUACCACAGAAAUUGCAGGUUUGCUAUACAAAUUGGUAGGAACUAUUCAGAACACCAGCCCAUAUGCUACAGCCUCCUGAACCUCAUUCUCCUCUCCUGGGCUCAAACGUGCGUCUCUCUGUCAGGGGCUAUAAUGUUUGUCUCCAUCGGGUACCACAGGUCUUUGCCACUGCUGGGCUGCUUCUGGGGAAGCGCAGGGCACAGACCAGGUCGCCCCUUGUGCUGCUCUCAGUUGUCAAGUUUUUGAGCAGGAAGAUGAUCUGCAUUUUGAUGCACAGCUGAAGUGCCUGAGGGUAUGUUCCUCCCUAGAGCUUGGUUAUUCUGCUCCCAGGUGUAAAGCAAGUGAGUAAAGGCAUAUUUCAGCAUGUGGUCAUGGAGCUUUAUGCAGAAAGGCUGCAGGUAGAGCAUAAAACCAGCCAGAAGAGGUAAAACAAAGCUCAUCCAGGCCAGGAGCUGUUGUGACUGGAGACUGACAGCAGAGUCCAUAGGGAAGGUUACAGGAAUGCAGAAGCAUCAGAAGUACUCUCCGUGUGCCCAAGUAGCUGCAGCUCUGCUUUCCUGAGUCAAAGGUGGUAUUUGUGUGUUUAUUUGCUUAGUGAAUUUUUGCUAUUAAUUUGUCUAGUUAUGUUUGAACUCAUACCCAGUUUAACCUCUGCAACAGCCCAGCAAUAGGCUUCACAGCCUAAUCAUCCACUGGGUGAAGAAAUCCCCUUCAGCUGUAUCUUUCUCAAUGCCAGCCAUCCUGGUUCAUUUAGUCAUUCAACAACCAGAAGCCAUUUCAUAACUGCGAUUAUUGCCCAUCUUCAUGUCCUUUCCACUUCUACUAAAUCCUUCCUGAGAGGGACAGUGACACAAACAGCUCAUGGUUGUCAAGAUGCAGACACAUUGUGGAUGUCUCUGUUCCUUUCCUAGUAAAUCCUGAUAUCUGGAUUGUUCCUGAGCACUGAGCUGGCACUAUCUGUCAGAACACAAAGAUUUCUUUGCUGGUAGUUACAAAGGCAAAGCCCAUCACUGUACAUGCUGACCCAGCUGUCUGUUACAAGAACUCUGCCAGACUCCUUCCUUGGGACCAGCCCAUCCUCUGGCACACCUUGGUUAAUGGGGUUGAGAGUACGGCUGCUUUUGGAGACUGGAUCUGCCUUUGGACUUGUGAGGCAGAAGUCUGGAUUCACACGCAGUUGUAGGUUCCUUUCCAUGGAGUGACUUGAAGGGUGGUAAUUACAGAAGUAGACUUGUCCUGUGACAGCCUCUGAAGUGACGUGGUCACAAAGCCCACUCAGACACUGUAUCCUGAAAUCGCCAGGUUCCUUGCAGUGCACGCAUUAUGCCUGGCACAUUCAGCCAACCAAGAAAUGUGUUUAUCUGGUGAUAAUCAAAUCAAUAGAGUGUGUUAUUGGAGUUAUUAAAUAGCUUUCCCAAGGUUUAUAGAAUAGCUAUUUUUCAAUAACAUUUUGCAUCAUGCCACCAUGAAAAAGAGUUCAUGAGGAUUUCUAAAAGGUCUGUUAGCAACGUACCAAUUUAGUUAAGCAUUGUAAAUGAACUCAAAAAAUCAUGAAUAAAACAUGAAAUAGAUUAAGCAAGAUGAAUUGAGCGUUGAGAGAAGAUCCAAAAUAUGUUUUGGCUAAUGCUCAUAGCAUUAAUUCUAGAACUGCCUUCUUCACACGCUUCAUCCAUUCAAAUAUCUACACUGCCUUGGAAAAGUUUCUUCUACAUUUUCAUCUUUUACCAACUUGAAAUUGAAGGGGAGUGACCAUGGAGGAUGGCUUCUAAGAGAUGUAAUUCUGGCAUCUAGAGGGAUGUAACUCACACAGGAAUGUGACUUAAACACACAGCAUGUGUUUAAGAUGGUCGAAAAUUUUGUUGCCAGAUUAAAACUCCCACAUCCCUAAUGUAAUUUUUUCUAAUGGUUUCUUCCUUUCAUGGUAGAUCUCAGUGUGUCUUUGCAAUAUUUAAUAUUUAAACAUUUCUUUUAAGAUAAAUUUUAACUCUGACUUUAAUCACUUGCAUUAUCUUCUAACAUAAUUUCAGUUGUAGUUGUCUAGAAGAUUUUAUUUUGUCCCUUAUAGUAUUGUUCUUUGGGUUUUUACUCAUUUUUAUGUAUUCUGAGUACCUGUUGAAACAGGACAAUACCAUGGACUAUUUCUAGCAGUUUGACAAUAUAUAACAUUGACCUUGCUAAGAGGCAAGGAUAUCCAUUAUGUGCUUCCCAAGAUUAAGAGCAUCACCAGAUUUACUCACUAGCAUUACUGCUCCCUCCCCUAAUAAUGUAUUUUGUGAAUUUGUCCUCUAAGUUUAAUGGAGGACAGUGCUAGCAAUCUGGAAAAUUUGGCAACAUUACUCAUUGUAAAAAGCCUAUUUACAUAUAUUAAACAUGCCUUGCUAAAGUCUAACAAGUAGAGAUCCCUGAGCAUCCUGGCAGCACCGAACCUCUCAGGUACCCUUGCAGCUCUCAGCAUGCCUGUGCUGUUUGGUGGGGUUAAUUUAUGCAGCUGAGUCAGCUCAUAAUCACUGUGAAGAAAACAGAUCCAGAUGUUUAUUGUAAAGCACCAAGUUCUUUGGACAGGGACUUUUACCAUCACUGCAGAAAACAAUAAAGCAUCAAGUCAGGCGAAAGACCCAUCUACUGUAAUAAUCUGUCUCUGACCUGUAGCAAAUGGUGGGUGAACAGCAUAAAGACAGGGCAAGCAUAUGGUGGUAAUCCUGAAAAUACUCUCCCAGUUUUCAGUCAUCUGCAGCGUAAAUAUUUCCUAAACCAGCGAUGGUGCUUGUUUUGAAGAGCCUUGACUGAGUUUUCUUCCAUUAAUCUGUCCAGUAAGUUUUGAAUCCCUAUGAACACUUGCAUUUACAACCUGCUGUGGCAAGGAAGGUCCAGUGAUGUGGCAAGGAUCUUCUUCCAGUUUAUCCUGGUUGCUUGAAGCACUAGUUCUGGGAAAGGGAUAACAUGAUGGAAGGUGUAGAGUGGCUCUUAUCAAACUCUUCAGGCUGCUUUUGGAGGCACAUAGAGGAGAUGUCCACAUAGCAAGCCUUGAAAGCAGGAGUAACUCAAGUUCAGUGAGCAAACUGUAGCUGGGAAGUAAAAACUAUGGCUUUGGAUGAGCUCUAUUCCCAUCACUACAUUUUCUCUCUUCCAUGUGUUCACAGCUUAGUCUGCUUUGAAAAUAAGUGCACUUGUGGUGCUGUUUGAAACAAUUCCACCUCCUUUGAAAAAUGAUCUGAGUGUGCAGGUAGGGCUGGACAGAGUACAAUACAUAGAAAAUUCAGAGCUGUUUUAAACUCCAAGUGAGCUUCAAUUUGCUGUGCUGUGGGACUGACCCACUGCUGUAUGCAAAACCCUUUUUGGACACUUGUAGUUUCUCCAGCAGCUGUCAGUCUGCACAGCAACUCCUGGCUGCACUACUCUUGCGUGUUGAUCCCUGUUAUAAUUUAUCGAUGUUACAUCUGCCCCAUUCUGUACUCUGAUUAAAUUAGAAUCCCAUUAACCACAGCUGGCUGUCAGACAAAGGAAGUGUCUGAUCUUAUUUUCAAUAUAAGACAUGCCCUCUGCUCUGCCGCACGUCAGAAAAUUUUCAAGGAGUGAUAAGGCUGCAGUUUUGAUAGGAUUCCUACAUUUCUCCAAGGAUUUGUUGAAAAAGUGGCAGCUUGGUAGCAGAAUAUUAGAUUAUUAAAUCGCACAGCACAGUGUUGAUGUAGUGUCUACGACAUACAAAGUGCUUUCUGAAGAGCCGUCCACCCCCUUGCGCUCCCUGAGAUCAGCCCUUCCCCAGCAGGCAGCAGCCUCCUCUGAUGCCACCGCUGCAGGACCUGCGGAAAGCCACCCCUUCAAUCCGUCUGAUCAACCACGCCAAUAGAAACUGUGUCCUGUUUCAGGAUGAACGACAAACCCAGUUGGACAGUCCUUUGAGAAGUCCUGACAAAAAUCCCGAAUUUAAUGCGCUUUUUUUUUUUAAUUCCUUUUUGUUGAAAGAGCAAACUAUCAGUAGAGCAUUUGUCUCAAGCACCAUAUGCUGAAUAUUCCCUUUGGCAUUUCUAAUAAAGCUCAUGGGCCUUGCUAAAGCCAGUGUUCAAAGGAUUCCUUGUGCACAUCACCCUUACCUAUAUAUCUGGUCACAUUCCUAUAGGGAUUAAAAGCCCUUAUUCGUCAAACGUUAUUUUAAAUGCAACGCAAUUUGCUGUUUCGUAUUGAGGAUAUUGGGCAAAUCAUCAAAAUCUCUGCUUGCUUGCUAUUGUGUUAAUAUUUGCUAUUUUCCUUUAAAAGGCAGUCUGCCUUCUGCAAUCUUCCCUUGAAAUCAGAUUACUUAACAGCAUUUUGUUCUCUUCUAUCAUUUCAUGCUUUCUACUAAGCAGUAAUAAACCAAAACUGAAAUACAAGAUUUUAUUUUAAAUCUUCACUCCUUAACUAUGCACCCUUCAGAUUGGGCUUGGGUAAUUUCUGGAUUUCAGUGUCAAAUAUUAUGGCAUCUAUCUGUACGACUCAUUUGUACUAUACAACACUCUCACUUGAGAAAAUCCCCAAACCAAAACCUUUUUGUACCAGGUACAUUCAUUUUCUGUUAUCAAAGGGAAAAAAAUAGCUUCAGACCACUAAGCAGCUGCAACCUUUUAUACAGACCUUAUUUAUCUGAUAUUAACUGAAUUGUGUCUUGCACUUUAUAGAAAUAGAAAGAAAUCCCUGCUCUAAAGAAGGUGGCUGCAAUGCCAGUAAAUGUCACUCAGCCCUCUCCAGAUCAAAAAUUAAUUGUGCACCCACCAUGAGAAAGUGAGCAGGUUGAGGCACUUAUUAUAUUGUGCUCUGUCAGGUUAUUAGGUUUUCACCUCAGGAAAUUCAGCUUCAAAUGCCACACAACCUACCUUAGCUGGUCACUCUGGGGCGUGUAUGCAAUAUACACAAAAAGUUAAUAAAAAUACAUCAGGCUCCCCCCACUGACAGCUAUUUAAUUACCAACCAUUUGCUGCUCACACAGAGGAACAGCGUGUUGUCCUCUUGGGUGCUUCAUUAGUACUAUCCAAUUUUGGCUAUGUCAAGGUUUAUUUUGUGGUCAGUCCUUUGAAAAUAGAAAAAUCAAAUAUAAUAAAAAUAUAACCUGUACUGUUGUAACUGUUAGGGUAGCAAAUAUUGCUUUACUGAAGUCAGACCUUCCAGCAUGGUUUCACGUGCUUAUAGUUUCUUUUGUUGUUGUUUCAAACUAUUUUGAGGAUAAGAAUGACAUUUCAAAAACUGUUCAGGUUGUAUUGUUCUUCAGCAGAGCGUUCUGGCCAGGGCUUGCAGCCGCUCUGACACCACAGACCUGCGGGGGGUUCGAGGUGGGCUCAGAAGGUUAAUCCCUCUCCUUUCAUCCGCAGCGCAGCACAACUCGUCAAUUUACCUGGUCCCUCAGUCCACCCAAAGGUUAGUGAGCACCAAGGAGCAUUACAGAAAUGCAGCGUUUGCAGCUGAUUUAAGACAGGACAGCAUCAGCUGUGAGGCUGUGCUUCCUUCUCCUCUAUUAAUUUAGGGUUCCAUUCUGUUUAAAUAACCAGAUCUCAUCCUAUGUUCAGAAAGAAUGAUGUUAGAGUGAGGGACUCCUUAACGAAUUUUGUUGGAGCACCUAAUAGAUUCUUUGGUCGUCACAUUUUCUGCUUUUUACUUGCUCAACGUGAUAAUCACAACAGCUCCUGGAUUUACACACUGGAAUGGGAUUAACACAUGCACAACAUUAUCUUUCCAAAAGUGCAAUUUAUGUUUAUCUUCCUCCUGCUGCUAACCACAUCUAUUGAUUUUCAGCUGCUGCUUUUUUACCGAAGCCUUGCUGCAGAGGGAGAUUUAGUCAAAUAAAGGUCCACACCUGUUCCUUAUGAAUGGCUUGAGGUUCUUUAAAUCUUUUUCAGAAACAGGACUGUGGCUCUGUGCUGGAGCCAUGAUCAUCUCAUCAUUCAUCCUGCCUGGUCAGCCUUGUUUUUCAUGGUGUGGUCACUUAGUAAGAAUGGCAGCCCUGAGCAAACUGGGCACUUUGUCUCUGAGGCUGGAUCUGUUUUGAGCUGCUUGUUUAGGCUUAGCUUUGCUGAGAAAGAACUGGGUGGAGAGUAAUGUAUUUGUUUUCCAGGAUACAUCUGUAUGCUACUGCACUAUUUGCUGAGCACUGUGAGCUUCAGCUCCAGGUUUUUUCUGCUUGGUAUUGAAUAGUUGUCCCUUCGUGUCUAUUGCAUCCAGUUGUUUACUAGGUAGAUUCAAUGUGCUGUCAGCCAGUCCAGGUCACCAACAGCAUCAGUUGGUUUUACUAACCCUUUUAUCUUGCCAUAUUUCCAGCCAAACCCUGCAAACAAUCACAGUGUUUUGUUGUGGUCAAAGCACAGCAAGUUCAGGCUCUGCAACUACAUCCAGAGGCUUUGCAACUAUAUUCAGGGGCUUUGCUCUCAGUGACUAAUGCUUUUAGGAUUUUCUUUCUAGAAGCUCUAUGACAAGUUUCGCUGCUCUCCUGAAAGCUGCAGCCAUCAGGCUGGAGAAGGCUCAGGCUGGUAUUCCUUGCUGUAACUGUGUCCCCUUCCCAGGCUUGGUGAAGGACUGAUUCCAACACUGAAGCUCAAACUGUGAAGCAGAAGCUCUCUGCUGAGCUUGCUCCAGCCCACGGAAAAUGGCCUUUGGGAAAUCAUCAUGCUUGGGGUCACUGCUGUUCUGUAUGGCUGUUGCUGUGCACCAGCAGCAACCUUUUGUGUCUUGUGCUAUUUUUCAGUUCAAAAUGCACAGUACAGAUAAUGCUGUAGCACUGUUGGUUCUGUGCUUUUCUGUUGCUUGGUUUUACUCAAGAUUGCUUAACAGAAGUGAUUCUUUGGCUGCCUUAUUCCCUUAGCUAGUUUAGAUUGUGGACGUGUCAAAUACUAAGUAUUCACUUUUUAAAAAAAUUCUGUUUGGUGAGUUUUCUGAACCUGGUGCUGAUGUGCAUACAUUGCAGUAAGCUUUGAACUCCACUCAUCAGUGUAAAUUCAUUACCUGAGUCAUUCUUGGUUUGCAGCAAAUAGGAAAGGUAUAUCCCAUAUUAAGUUCCUAGAAGUAUUUCUAAUCUUACUUUGGUAAAACACUGUGUUCUUAGUGGCUUGAAAACUUGUUUUAAUGUUGUUGCAAUUGAGAUGGGAAGAAUACAAUCUAUAAUACUUUUAUUUUGUUGUAUCUACUAAAAUGCCAACACUGUACUUUAAAAUAGUCCUAUACCUGAGGUUAUUACUGGCAUCUAUAUAAUAAAGGAAUAGAAUACGUAUAACUUAUAGAUGUAGUUAGUCACCUACCAUUUUUUUUCCAUCUUUCAUGAUGAAAGCAAAUUCUAACUUUCUUUUCUUCCUCUUCCCCAAUUCAGCCUGGCAGGUAAAGACUCACCAUAGGAAAUAAUGCCAAGUGCUUUCUCUGGGGAUUCCUUUGCCUUGCCUUCUGACUUACAGUUUUUUUUCCCCCUAGUUUAAGGUCUGAUUGAAAAAAAAACCAAAACACACGUUCAUUUGUAGUUGCUAAAUUUAAGAAGCAGAAAAAUGAAAGGUGAGGAGGAAAAGCAAGCCAAAUCAAGCCAUUAAAUAUCAGUGAUUUAAGAAGUCAUUGCAUCUUUUUGAGAUACCUACUCUGUUAUAGCUCUCAUGGAGGAGACAAACGCUUUAGUUAAGCCAGCUGUCAGGUUUAGUGGAGCUGAGCAGUAUAUUACCAUCCCUGCCCAGUGGCACACUAGUAACUUCAGAGCUCUGCCACAGAUCAUGUGUAAAUGGUACCUUGUUAAGCGUUACCUUCAUGUUAACCAGCGUUAUAUAGAGAUAUUAUCAUCUCUCAGUGCCUGGCGUAUUUGCUAGAAGUUUACAACAGCCAGUGCAACUACUUGCAUAAAAACUAGCACAAGGAUGUUGGCUCAGCUGCUAACAUAGUGAGUUUGAAACUCUAAGAAACAGUCAAAUGUAGUUGCACUGCAUCCUAGUUACUCUUCUUCCUUCUCACUCAAUAACCGUAGAGACAAAAAUCUUCAUUUGAGCUUUUUAAUCAGGCAGGUCACGAAAGCAGCUGCAAUCACAUGUUCUUGACUGUGAAGAGGAACAAACACAUUUGCUUUCCACACAUCCAUCUACCUGGUGACUGACAGGUCCCCCAAAGAUGGACAGCAUCAUGUUCCCCACAGUCUUUUUGCACAAGAAAUACAGCAUCCCUCGGAGGACCUUGCCUAAGCAAGCACAGGCCAGUGAACUCUGUAGCAUGAGUCAAAGUUGCCACCUUCUAGGGUAGUCAUGAAUAUUAAGUCACACUCUAAAAUGAUUAUAUGGAACUUGCCCUGCCUUAGUAAGUAAAUGAGCUUUUGCUCUGUAUUCAAUCUUUUUGGGUGAAAUAGAUUUGUCACAGUGUUUUGGUUUUGUUAGUAUGGAAGAGUCAACACAGGUCAGUGAGCAAACUGAAUUGUCAUCUGUCUGCAUGAAACAGAAUUGCUGGCUACAUCUUAAUCAGCAGCGAGCCUGGAAUGUCAGAAAAACCCUUCUCAGCCCAGCCCACCUUCUCUGCUGCAGGGCCAAAGGGGCUUUCUGGGUGCUGGUAUGAAGCACGGUCAGCAAGGGCUCCUUGGGGAUAGGCACUGCUCCUUGGCUUGUCCACUCCUGCUAGAACCACUUCACACAGUGAAAGGAAUUUUUUUUUCACUUUUAUGUUCCCUAACAGACAUCAGAAGUGAUUUCCUGAGAUAAGUGCAGUAUAAAAUUUUAACUCACUUUGUAUAGCUUCACUCCUUCUAGAGAGAAUGUUUUUUUUCUCCUCUAUAGUACGAUGUGCUUCAGCAAAAGCAAUCUUAUUCUUUUAUCAGUGGCAGCUUGGGAUGGGCAUAAUAUUUACAAAUGAUGCCAUGAACAAUUUAUGCAAAUCACCCAAAUGAGAACCAGUAAGCUUUUAUAUCCUGCCAAACAAUCAUGUAUUGUAGAAAUGCCACAUUUUACAGUCAAUUUGAGAAAGGUUUUAGAGACUUUAAAACAUUAGUGCCCUAUUUUUCAUAUUGCUCAACAUAUACAACAGGAUUCGUUAGUACCAUGAGUCCAAAAAUACAACCUUUGGAAUGUGAAGAAAAAAAAAAACGUAAUGGAUUUUAGAAACCUAAGUGACUUUGAAAACCUUCUUGGAACUUCAUAAUACCAUCAGUUUUUUAAAAGAUCUUGUCUAAAAUUGAAAGCCUGUCUGACUGCAAAAAGGUGAUCUGUCCCUUUCCACUAGCAUAAAAAUACCGUUUCUUAGUGCAUGUAAAUGAGCCAUUGUAAAAUAAAUCAGCAAAAAGUAAUGGAUUCUCUUAAUGUAUUAAGCUCUCCAAAGGGCUUUUCUACACUGCAGAAUUUACUGGUGUCUGAACUGAGCUAAGGAUCAGUAACUGCAUGGCUACAUUAGCUGAUUUUUAACUUUGUUCCAUGUUACCUUUGAUGGUGUCCUGAAAAGCAUCAGUUUUGGGAGGUUCUGCCUGCCCAAAGUAGGGUUCCUGGGAGCCACAAAGCCAAGAGGAAUUUACAAGACCCCCCCUUUCCUAAUUCACUGUGGGGUUACAAGUGAAAGACCAGUGGAGCCAGUUUGGCUUGGCAGCUUCUACACUGUUCUAGCGCAUUUUUUAGUGACUUAUCUAAAUGUGAAGACACUAUUGAAUUAUUUGUGACCUUUUAUUUUUCCAGCUCACAAGGGACAUUUGGAUUCUUGGAUUAAAAAAUAGCACAAGUUUUCCCUUGGAAAUAAAAUUGUUGCCCACACUAGUAAUCCACACAACUAUCCUCCCCAUGUUAAAGAAAGAAACAAAGGAACAUCUUGCGGGGUGGGGGAAUAAGCAGCAGCAAAUAUUUAACUGGUAGGUAAUAGCAAAUUUGUGGGAACUACGAAACAAUAACUUUUAAAAAUGUGUUUCCAUGUUGUUGGUUUUUUUUCAAGCAAAAACAUUUUGAUGCCACAGUCCAUCUGAAAUCCUUACAAGAGCUUUCCACCUUCCCUGUAAAGAGCCAGUAAAAUGGGCUUAUUUUUUUUAAAGCUCUUUUAAGUCUUCAUCUUCCUGCCAGAUUUUACUUAAAAGGUUACAGAGUGAUGAUACUUCUUUUCUGGUGUUUUACUGAAGUUUGUCUACUGAGCCAAAUACCCUUGAUUCGCAUAAGGCUGGCGGUGUAUGUCUUUUUUUUUUAAGCAGUGAACUAUUUACUCCUGGAUAAGGGCAGAGUUGGUGACUUUCUAACCUUGUUUUUCCAGUCAGCCUUUCUUGUUAAGGCACACAAUAAAUUUGUUUUGAUUGAAACCGUGACAGAAGCACCUGUGCUGAGUUUCUGGGCUGGAUGAAGGCCCUGCCAGCAGUGGGGACAAGGCGGGAGGGCAGGGGGGACAUUUGUCAUGUGAAAAGAAAUGCACAGGGUUAAAUAUGAGGUAGAGAAGAGGGGACAAGGGACACCUGUCCAUGCAGUAAAACCUGUAUGAGGAAAAACGUGUGUUUGUGUCAGCAUUGGCACAGUUGGUGGGUGAGGACACAGGAGGCGGCCAUCUUGG